rnacentral:rRNA from 1 species
UACAGAGGUCUCAAGCGUUUGUUCGGAUUCAUUGGGCGUAAAGGGUGCGUAGGUGGCGCCGUAAGUCAGGUGUGAAAUUUCGGAGCUUAACUCCGAAACUGCAUUUGAUACUGCGGUGCUUGAGGACUGGAGAGGAGACUGGAAUUCCUGGUGUAGCGGUGAAAUGCGCAGAUAUCAGGAGGAACACCUAUUGCGAAGGCAGCUCGCUGGGACGUAACUGACGCUGAGACGCGAAAGCGUGGGGAGCAAACAGG